rnacentral:lncRNA from 1 species
CGGACGCGCGGAGCGCAGGUCCCGCGGCGCAGUCGGGCUGCCGAGGGCGUGUCCCCGCUGCCGAGGUGCGGCCCGGGGCGGGGGGCGCGGGGGGCGCGGGGGUCCCGAGCGCGGCGGGCGGCGGGGGGCGCGGGGGGCGCGGGGGUCCCGAGCGCGGCGGGCGGCUGUGCGGGCGAGCUGCGCCACUGGGGACGGGCGCCGCCGCCUUCGGGCCGCUGGUGACAUUGGGAGGAGGGCGCUGGGGGGGGGGGGGGGGAGGAGGAGGGAGGGGGCGACGCUGCGGGGGCGUGGGAGCAGCCGGGGAGGCGGCCGCGCCGGAGACAACUUCUCCCGGGCGCGCGCGGGGGGCGGGGGGAGGCGGGCGGCCGGGGGAGCGGCGGGAGCCUGGGGAGCCUCGGGGAGCCUCGGGGAGUCGCGGGGAGUCUCGGGGAGCGGCGGGGUCUCGGGAGCCUGAGCCCCCCCCCGCCCCCGCCCCCGCCCGCGCCCGGCCCCCCGCGCCGCUGCCGGGCUCGGCCCUAUAAAUAGCAGGUCGCAGCCGCUCCGCGCGCGCGGGGGACGCAGGAAAGUGGGGCCGAAGUGCCCGCCCGGCCGCCGCCGCCGACAGGGUCUCGGUUUCAUCCCGCUGGACCACCUGGUGAUGUCCGAUGGUGUAGACGGCUGUUUCUCUACAAGUUCACUCUCUGUUUUCUUGACGACGCUGCUCCUGUGUUCAGCUACUGUACUAGGCUCUCCUGUUCCCACGAUUGUUCUCCAGCUUCCUGCUUCUACAUCCAUGUGUUGGGAUGGGUCUCCUGCAGCGGCCUUUUGCUCAGUCGUCCUCCGGCCCAGGAGUCGCCCAGGAUUCGCCCCAUCAACGGACUUUAAUGAAACCCAGGCCUCCGGUGUGCAAGGAGGCGGCGAUUCCCCGGCUUCACUCACUGCUGCCUUCCUGCCUGUCGUCCUUGUCGGUGUCACUUCCCUGCAUGUCCUCCCAACUUGGGGACCUUCGGGGUUCUGUCCAAUUCUCCGUCCCUGGAUCAUCCAUAUAUCAAUGGGUUUUUAUAGGCCUCAUUUGUGGAUUUCCUUGCCUAAUUACAUCCAUUUGUAAAGGAACUACCCCCUCACCGUUGGUCAUCACGUCUCUGCGGCAGGGAUGUGCUUGUAUUUCCCGCCAACACGUCCCUGGUGUUUAGCGUGGGACCUGGUCAGCAUCUGGUCCGUAUCUGAGCCUCCGUGGCCUGGGACCAGCUCGCGUUUAGGUGGCAGCAGUGGAAGCAGCGACAGGGCCACGGUGGGGACGUACAGUCGUUCCGCUGCAGUUUCUUUAAGUUUGCAUUUUUUUCAGAAAAUAUAGCUUUGCCUCUGGAUUUGUGUCCCCUUCAUUGCACAGGCCCCGUUAUGGGUUUUUCCCGUCUCUUAGACGUGCACGUGGGGGACUCUCCACAACUGCGGGCGGUUGUCAUCGGGGCCCUUCUGCCCGCUGCCGGGCAGGUUGUUGGGGCUUUGCUGGCAAACGGUAACAGGUGAUCGUCGGCCUUUCGUCCCGGUUAUUAUGGGGACCUGUUGCUUUGUGAGCUUAUGAAGCUGGGUGGCGGGGCUUGAAGACGGCUUGGAGCGGAGCAGAUAAAAGGAAAUGUGGCAAGGUUGAGAGCCGCAGCCCGAGUCCCCAGGAGCAGCCCAGAGGGCUCGGGGUGGGCAGCCCGGCCUGGCCCACCCGACGGCUUGCGAGGGCCGCGCGUCGGGCGCUCUCCGGAGGCGCCGGUGCAGGGCCAGCGUCGCUGUGCACGGGCAGGCCGACGUGCCCUCCAGACGGGGGUUUGCGCCUCGCUGAACAACAGGUGCCUGACCUUGGGGGCAGGUGACUUAGCAGCGGCGAGGGGGCUGCUGUGCGUCCUGGGGAAGCCCCGGGAGCAGGGCUGGGCCAGGAGCCCCGGAGAAGCCCCGCAGACCCGUGGACGGACAGAUCGCAGCCGCUGCAAGGGGAGAGCGGUUUCCACAAGAGCGACAAGCUGCUGACGACCAACGUGGUCACCGUGCUUCAUCUCGGCUACUUUGGAGACCUUGCUGGCCAUUCAUCCUGCCACGCGGCGGCAGCCGGAGAGCGGAGACCGCGGUGGGACGGCUCCUGCCCAGGUGAGUGGAAACUGAGGCAGGGCCGGGGUGGCCCUCCGAGCAGAGGGUGGCUAGCAAGGCCGCUGGGAGCAGGAGCGGCAGGUGGCCGAGGCGGCCCGAGCGGGGACGGGACGGUGCAGGGGACGGGGACCGGGCCAAGUCAGGAGCUGGGGCACGGCCUCCCGUGGGUUGCACUUGGCUGCGCUUGAGUCUAGGCCAACAGUUGGGCUUCCGGGGAUGACGAGGAGGACAGUGUGGGGCCUCCGGGCCCUGGGGACCUCGGGACAGCGGGG